CGUGAGGCUGGCUAUAUACGGUGAGACUGGCUAUAUACUGAUAUACGGUGAGGCUGGCUAUAUACUAUAUAGGUGAGACUGCUUAUACUAUAUACGGUAGGCUGGCUAUAUACUAUAUACGGUGAGACUGGCUAUAUACUAUAUACGUUGAGGCUGGCUAUAUAAGGUGAGACUGGCUGAUACUAUAUACGGUGAGGCCGGCUAAUAUACUAUAUACGGUGAGACUGGCUAUAUAAUAGAAUACGGUGAGGCUGGCUAUAUACUAUAUACGGUGAGACUGGCUAUAUACGGUGAGGCUGGCAUAUACUAUAUACGGUGAGGCUGGCUAUCUAUAUACGUGAGCUGGCUAUAUACGGUGAGGCUGGCUAUAUACGUGUGAGACUGGCUAUAUACGGUGAGACUGGCUAUAUUACGGUGAGACUGGCUGAGAUGAGCUAUAUUACGGUGAGACUGGCUAUAACGGUGAGACUGGCUAUGAGACUGGCUAUAUUACGGUGAGACUGGCUAUAUUACGAUAGCGGUGAGACUGGCUAUAAUACGGUGAACGGCUAUUUACGGUGAGACUGGCAUAUUAAGUGAGACUGGCUAUUAGGUAGAACGGCUAGAACGUAGACUGGCUAUAUACGGUGAGGCUGGCUAUAUUCGGAGACUGGCUAUAUACGGUGAGACUGGCUAUAGACGGUGAGACUGGCUCAUUACGUGAGCGGGCUAUAUAGAGACUGGCUGAUACGUACUGGCUUAUAGUGCUGGAGAGACUGCAUG
rnacentral:lncRNA from 1 species